ACUGCUCAGUAACACGUGGUCAACAUACCCAGAGGACGUGGAUAACCUCGGGAAACUGAGGAUAAACCGCGAUAGACCAUAAUGUCUGGAAUGAUUUAUGGUUCAAAUCUACAUGGCCUCUGGAUUGGACUGCGGCCGAUCAGGCUGUUGGUGAGGUAAUGGCCCACCAAACCUGAAACCGGUACGGGCUCUGAGAGGAGAAGCCCGGAGAUGGGCACUGAGACAAGGGCCCAGGCCCUAUGGGGCGCAGCAGGCGCGAAAUCUUUGCAAUAGGCGAAAGCCUGACAAGGUUACUCUGAGUGAUCUCCGCUAAGGAAAUCUUUUGACACCUCUAAAAAUGGUGUAGAAUAAGGGGUGGGCAAGCCUGGUGUCAGCCGCCGCGGUAAUACCAGCACCCCGAGUGGUCGGGACGAUUAUUGGGCCUAAAGCAUCCGUAGCCGGUUCCUUAAGUCCUCCGUUAAAUCCACCUGCUUAACAGAUGGGCUGCGGAGGAUACUAUAGAGCUAGGAGGCGGGAGAGGCAAGCGGUACUCAGUGGGUAGGGGUAAAAUCCGUUGAUCCAUUGAAGACCACCAGUGGCGAAGGCGGCUUGCCAGAACGCGCUCGACGGUGAGGGAUGAAAGCUGGGGGAGCAAACCGGAUUAGAUACCCGGGUAGUCCCAGCUGUAAACGAUGCAGACUCGGUGAUGAACAGGCUUCGUGCCUGUUCAGUGCCGCAGGGAAGCCGUUAAGUCUGCCGCCUGGGGAGUACGGUCGCAAGACUGAAACUUAAAGGAAUUGGCGGGGGAG
rnacentral:rRNA from 1 species